CAACUCCUCCUAUCUGAUUCCUUCAGGCUGCUUUUGAACUCACAGCGAUUCUCCUGCCUCAGCUUCCAGAGUGCUGAGAGUGUAGCUGUGCUCCAACACAGCUGGCUCCCAGGAUCUUUGGACAGUGCCCUGCACAGGCUGGACAGCGACAAUCUCAGGACAGAGUUCUGAGCUGGAAGAGGGACCAGUGAGGCCAGCUAGAUCGACCAGUAGAUCAACCACCCACACACCCAGUAAGGCAGGGACAGAACUCCAGCUGAGCAAAGGACCCUCGGCCCCUCGGCGCUUUCGUGAA
rnacentral:lncRNA from 1 species